UUUCCGUAGGUGAACCUGCGGAAGGAUCAUUAUCGAGUUUACAACUCCCAAACCCAAUGUGAACGUUACCAAACUGUUGCCUCGGCGGGGUCACGCCCCGGGUGCGUCGCAGCCCCGGAACCAGGCGCCCGCCGGAGGAACCAACCAAACUCUUUCUGUAGUCCCCUCGCGGACGUUAUUUCUUACAGCUCUGAGCAAAAAUUCAAAAUGAAUCAAAACUUUCAACAACGGAUCUCUUGGUUCUG
rnacentral:misc_RNA from 1 species